rnacentral:rRNA from 1 species
ACAUACCUACAACUGUUGCUUCGGCGGGUAGGCCGUCCCCUGAAAAGGACGCCUCCCGGCCCGGACCGGACCCCCCGCGGGACCGGACCCGGCGCCCGCCGAAGGAUAACCAAACUCUAUUGUAACGACGUUUCUUCUGAGUGGCAUAAGCAAAAUAAUCAAAACUUUUAACAACGGAUCUCUUGGUUCUGGCAUCGAUGAAGAACGCAGCGAAAUGCGAUAAGUAAUGUGAAUUGCAGAAUUCAGUGAAUCAUCGAAUCUUUGAACGCACAUUGCGCCCGCCAGCAUUCUGGCGGGCAUGCCUGUUCGAGCGUCAUUUCAACCCUCAAGCUCUGCUUGGUGUUGGGGCUCUACGGUCGACGUAGGCCCUCAAAGGUAGUGGCGGACCCUCCCGGAGCCUCCUUUGCGUAGUAACAUUUCGUCUCGCACUGGGAUCCGGAGGGACUCUUGCCGUAAAACCCCCCAAUUUUCCAAAGGUUGACCUCGGAUCAGGUAGGAAUA